rnacentral:rRNA from 1 species
GACGAACGCUGGCGGUGUGCUUCACACAUGCAAGUCGAACGAGGUAGCAAUACCUAGUGGCGGACGGGUGAGUAACGCGUGGGAAUCUGCCUUAAGAUGGGGGAUAACGAGCCGAAAGGCCCGCUAAUACCGCAUAUGCCGAAAGGUGAAAGGAGUAAUCCGUCUUAAGAUGAGCCCGCGUCCGAUUAGCUAGUUGGUAGGGUAAAGGCCUACCAAGGCGACGAUCGGUAGCUGGUCUGAGAGGAUGAUACAAGCCACAAUGGGACUGAGACACGGCCCAUACUCCUACGGGAGGCAGCAGUGGGAAUUUUACGCAAUGGGGGAAACCCUGACGUAGCGACACCGCGUGAGCGAAGAAGCCCCUUGGGGUGUAAAGCUCUGUCAGCUGGAACGAAAAAAAUGACGGUACCAGCAGAGGAAGCAUCGGCUAACUACGUG